AACGAACGCUGGCGGCGUGCCUAACACAUGCAAGUCGAGCGAGAAAGGGACUUCGGUCCCGAGUAAAGCGGCGCACGGGUGCGUAACACGUGGGUAAUCUUCCUUCAGGUCCGGAAUAACUCUUCGAAAGGAGAGCUAAUGCUGGAUAAGCCCACGGCCCCUUCGGGGGCUGUGGGAAAAGAUGGCCUCUGCAUGCAAGCUAUCUCCUGUAGAUGAGCCCGCGGCCCAUCAUGCUAGUUGGCGGGGUAACGGCCCACCAAGGCGACGACG
rnacentral:rRNA from 1 species